CCCGUCGGUGAAGAUGAGCUCAUCUCCUUCAUCAUCGCCGGUCUCGACAUGGAAUAUCAGCCCAUCAUCUCCGCCCUUGACGUGCAUGUUGAUCAUGUCUCCACCGAUGAACUCUUUGGCAUGAUCUCCAACU